UACGUAGGGGGCGAGCGUUGUCCGGAUUUAUUGGGCGUAAAACGCUUGUAGGUGGCCACGUCAAGUCGGAUGUGAAAUCUCCCGGCUCAACUGGGAGGGGUCAUUCGAUACUGGCGGGCUCGAGGCCGGUAGGGGGAAGCGGAAUUCCCGGUGUAGUGGUGGAAUGCGUAGAUAUCGGGAGGAAUACCGGUGGCGAAGGCGGCAUCCUGGACCGACAUUGACGCUGAGGAGCGAAAGCUAGGGGAGCAAACGGG
rnacentral:rRNA from 1 species